rnacentral:rRNA from 1 species
CCUACGGGUGGCAGCAGUGAGGAAUAUUGGUCAAUGGACGAUAGUCUGAACCAGCCAAGUAGCGUGAAGGAUGACUGCCCUAUGGGUUGUAAACUUCUUUUAUAUGGGAAUAAAGUGUUCUAUGUAUACUGUUUUGUAUGUACCAUAUGAAUAAGGAUCGGCUAACUCCGUGCCAGCAGCCGCGGUAAUACGGAGGAUCCGAGCGUUAUCCGGAUUUAUUGGGUUUAAAGGGAGCGUAGGCGGGUUGUUAAGUCAGUUGUGAAAGUUUGCGGCUCAACCGUAAAAUUGCAGUUGAAACUGGCAGUCUUGAGUACAGUAGAGGUAGGCGGAAUUCGUGGUGUAGCGGUGAAAUGCUUAGAUAUCACGAAGAACUCCGAUUGCGAAGGCAGCCUGCUGGACUGUAACUGACACUGAGGCUCGAAAGUGUGGGUAUCAAACAGGAUUAGAUACCCCAGUAGUC